rnacentral:piRNA from 1 species
UGGAACGCCAAGAGGAGUCUCUGUCC